GACGAACGCUGGCGGCGUGCUUAACACAUGCAAGUCGAGCGGUAAGGCCCUUUCGGGGGUACACGAGCGGCGAACGGGUGAGUAACACGUGGGUGACCUGCCCUCAGCUCUGGGAUAAGCCUGGGAAACCGGGUCUAAUACUGGAUAUGACUCCAUGACGCAUGUUGUGGGGUGGAAAGCCUUGUGCGGCUGAGGAUGGGCCCGCGGCCUAUCAGCUUGUUGGUGGGGGAUGGCCUACCAAGGCGACGACGGGUAGCCGGCCUGAGAGGGCGACCGGCCACACUGGGACUGAGACACGGCCAGACUCCGUACGGGAGGCAGCGAGUGGGGAAUCUUG
rnacentral:rRNA from 1 species